rnacentral:lncRNA from 1 species
AUGAAGGUAAAGAUGCUGUGGGAACAACCUCAAACAGAAGUAGUAGUGGCAGUUAUUAAAUCACCUCCUCAUGCCUUUACUCUGAGGCAUGCAGACUUGGUAACACUACGACCACAUGAACUUCUUAAUGGUGAGGCAAUCGAAUGCUACAUUCGGGCUGCUCUUAAUAAAUUUGAAAAGUCUGGACGUCUGCUCCAGAUGGAUCACUAUGUUACUGGUGUGAUCCUUGAAGGCACAAGACAACAAAUGUCUCGACACCAAAUGAAAAAAGUGGACUUUGACUGUUUUGAUGGUGCAGUGUCUUUUGUAAAUAUCAAUGACAGUCACUGGAGGUUUGUGUAUCUUCAUGCUCCGUCAGCCCAAGUGUUUGUCAUUGACCCUGCUUCUUCAGAGAUUGACCAUGACAUCUCAAAUAAGGCUGCAAUGACUUACCGAUUGUAUUUCAAAAUGCGCCAAAACAUACAAGGCAGGCAGCACUGGAGCAGCAUUAAGUGGACAGCAGGAACCAUAAAGCACAAUGAACAAAAGGACAGCACAAGUUGUGGAGUGUUUGUGAUGCAGAUGGCAAGAAAGGUUGCUGAAAGUUUUCCACAAAUUCCUGCAUCAAUGACCAUAAAUCCAACAAGCAGCAGCAUAAGAAAGCUGCGGGCUGAAAUGGCAGAGACAAUGCUCUCUUCCUCAGUACCAAGAGAUGAGUAUUGCUCAAUCUGUGGACUCAAAGAUGUCCCAAAAACGGCAACAACUGAAGCAGUUGUUAUUGACUGGACCCAAUGUGAGACAUGCAAGCGGUGGUUUCACGAUAUCUGCAUUACCCUAAAUAAAAGUAACUCCCCAGAAACUGACUUGCCAUGGCACUGUCUUUUAUGUUAAGACAGAAUGAAAAAGGCACCAGGACACAAGGAAAGUAAGAAGACGGAAAGAAAACUAAAUAUAGAGUUACGAUAGAGAUCGUCAAUGUUACAUUUUGAUGUGAUUUUGAAAAUAAUAAUAAAUUAAGAGAAAGAAAUGUCUGAUUUCUUAGCCAUUUAUCGGAUCUCAGGACAAUCAGCCCAAAUAGAAAAGGAUACUUUUAAAGCCAUUUGAAGAGGAUGGAUAAUAGGUUAUUCAACUGCAAAAAAUAAGAAAAUGCUAUAAAAUAAUCUUAUGACUGAAUUAAAGAUUUUAGUAACUCAACCAAUGUUUCCAAAAACGUGCUACACUUAAGAUUUCACGAUUACUGACAAGAUCAGCCUUGCAAGCAGUUAUACAUGAGAAGUGAAAAUUUACUGUUUCAACUUGGCAUGUUCCAUACUACCCACAUACUAAAAAGCUGAAAAGAUAUAUUUGAAAAAUAAGCCUUGUGGCACAGGGGGGUUAUUAUUAUCUGUCUUAUACAGUUGGUUUGAUAUCUUGAGGUCAAUAGGUCAAGGAGCAUAAUACGUUUAUUUAUUUAUUUUAUUUGUGAAAAAUUCCCGAAAUGAUAUAUUUGAAAAAUAAGCCUUGUGGCACAGGGGGGUUAUUAUUAUCUGUGUUAUACAGUUGGUUUGAUAUCUUGAGGUCAAAAGGUCAAGGAGCAUAAUACGUUUAUUUAUUUAUUUUAUUUGUGAAAAAUUGCCGAAAUGAUAUAUUUGAAAAACAAGCCUUGUGGCACAUGGGGGUUAUUAUUAUCUGUGUUAUACAGUUGGUUUGAUAUCUUGAGGUCAAAAGGUCAAGGAGCAUAAUACAUUUAUUUAUUUAUUUUAUUUGUGAAAAAUUCCCGAAAUGAUAUAUUUGAAAAAUA